rnacentral:rRNA from 1 species
AGGACGAACGCUGGCGGCGUGCUUAACACAUGCAAGUCGAACGGGAUCCGGGCUUUCGGGUUUGGUGAGAGUGGCGAACGGGUGAGUAACACGUGAGUAACCUGCCCCCUUCUUUGGGAUAACGUCGGGAAAUCGGCGCUAAUACUGGAUAUUCUUGCUGCAUCGCAUGGUGUGGUUUGGAAAGGGUUUCUGGUGGGGGAUGGGCUCGCGGCCUAUCAGCUUGUUGGUGGGGUGAUGGCCUACCAAGGCUUUGACGGGUAGCCGGCCUGAGAGGGUGUCCGGCCACGACUGGGACUGGAGACACGGCCCAGACUCCUACGGGAGGCAGCAGUGGGGAAUAUUGCACAAGUGGCGCAAGCCUGAUGCAGCGACGCCGCGUGAGGAUGGACGGCCGUUCGGUUACGGUAAACCUCUUUCUAGUAUGGAACAAGGAUCCGUUGUUUUCGGGUUGAGGUCGUGC